GGGGAUUUAGCUCAGUGGUAGAGCACUUGCCUAGCAAAUGCAAGGUUCAGUCCCCA
rnacentral:tRNA from 1 species